UACGUAGGGGGCGAGCGUUGUCCGGAUUUACUGGGCGUAAAGGGCAUGCAGGCGGCCCGAUCAGUCCGUCGUGAAAGCUCCCGGCUUAACUGGGGAGGGUCGGCGGAGACGGUCUGGGCUUGGAGGGCGGUAGAGGAGCAGGGAAUUCCCGGUGUAGUGGUGAAAUGCGUAGAGAUCGGGAGGAACACCAGUGGCGAAGGCGCUGCUCUGGGCCGACCCUGACGCUGAGGUGCGAAAGCGUGGGGAGCGAACCGG
rnacentral:rRNA from 1 species